rnacentral:rRNA from 1 species
CUUCGGACGAAGCUCUUGAUCGAAGCCCCGGUAAACGGCGGCCGUAACUAUAACGGUCCUAAGGUAGCGAAAUUCCUUGUCGGGUAAGUUCCGACCUGCACGAAUGGCGUAAUGAUGGCCACGCUGUCUCCACCCGAGACUCAGUGAAAUUGAAAUCGCUGUGAAGAUGCAGUGUACCCGCGGCUAGACGGAAAGACCCCGUGAACCUUUACUACAGCUUGGCACUGAACAUUGAACCUACAUGUGUAGGAUAGGUGGGAGACUAUGAAAUUGCGUCGCUAGAUGUGAUGGAGUCGUCCUUGAAAUACCACCCUUGUAGUUUUGAUGUUCUAACGUUGGUCCCUGAAUCGGGAUUACGGACAGUGCCUGGUGGGUAGUUUGACUGGGGCGGUCUCCUCCCAAAGAGUAACGGAGGAGCACGAAGGUGGGCUAAACACGGUUGGACAUCGUGUGGUUAGUGCAAUGGCAUAAGCCCGCUUGACUGCGAGAAUGACAAUUCGAGCAGGUGCGAAAGCAGGUCAUAGUGAUCCGGUGGUUCUGAAUGGAAGGGCCAUCGCUCAACGGAUAAAAGGUACUCCGGGGAUAACAGGCUGAUACCGCCCAAGAGUUCAUAUCGACGGCGGUGUUUGGCACCUCGAUGUCGGCUCAUCACAUCCUGGGGCUGAAGUCGGUCCCAAGGGUAUGGCUGUUCGCCAUUUAAAGUGGUACGCGAGCUGGGUUUAGAACGUCGUGAGACAGUUCGGUCCCUAUCUGCCGUGGGCGUUGGAAAAUUGAAAGGGGCUGCUCCUAGUACGAGAGGACCGGAGUGGACGAACCUCUGGUGUUCGGGUUGUCAUGCCAAUGGCAUUGCCCGGUAGCUAAGUUCGGAAUCGAUAACCGCUGAAAGCAUCUAAGCGGGAAGCGAGCCUUGAGAUGAGUUUUCCCUGGCACUAUAAGUGUCCUAAAGGGUUGUCGUAGACUACGACGUUGAUAGGCAGGGUGUGUAAGUGCUGCGAGGCAUUGAGCUAACCUGUACUAAUUGCCCGUGAGGCUUAACCAU